GAGUGACCGAAUGGGUUAUAAAAACACAUUUUAAUUAUUAGUGUUAAUUUACUGCUACACUGGUAAAUUAUAUUAAAUAUUAUUAAUUACAAUUUGUUUGAAGCAGUUGCGUGGAGCUGCAAUUCAUUAUUCGAGUAUUAAUUAAUUUGACUGAGUAAAUGCAGUUUGGAAAUUUUGGACUUUUAUCUUUGGCAUAAUUCUACUUGCGGUAAACCAUAAAUUAAAAGAAAAAUUAAACCUAAAAGAUACAAAGUGCAAUGCUGCGAAUGUAAAUCUGUGUUUAACAAUGAUUUUAAAAGUCAACAUGAAAAAGUUAAACAUGGUGGAAAAAGAGUAUCCAUACAAAAUAUUGGGGCGCCUGCAAACCCAUUUGAGGCUGCGUUAAAGAAA
rnacentral:lncRNA from 1 species